GGUUGAUCCUGCCAGUAGUCAUAUGCUUGUCUCAAAGAUUAAGCCAUGCAUGUCCAAGUAUGAACACGCUUUGUACGGUGAAACUGCGAAUGGCUCAUUAUAUCAGUGAUCACUUAUUUGAUGAUGGCUGCCACGUGGAUACCUGUGGAAAAUCCAGAGCUAAUACAUGCCAACACGCCCGACUCGCGAGGGAAGGGCGGUAUUUAUUAGGUAAGAGCCAGCCCUGGCAACAGGAGCGAUGGUGAUUCAUGGUAACUGCACGAAUCGCACGGCCUUGCGCCGGCGAUGGAUC
rnacentral:rRNA from 1 species